rnacentral:rRNA from 1 species
UACAGAGGUCCCAAGCGUUGUUCGGAAUUACUGGGCGUAAAGCGCAUGUAGGCGGUUCGUCAAGUCAGAUGUGAAAGCCCUGGGCUUAACCCAGGAAGUGCAUUUAAAACUCACGAACUUGAGUCCCGGAGAGGAAGGCGGAAUUCUCGGUGUAGAGGUGAAAUUCGUAGAUAUCGAGAGGAACAUCGGUGGCGAAGGCGGCCUUCUGGACGGUGACUGACGCUGAGAUGCGAAAGCGUGGGGAGCAAACAGG